rnacentral:rRNA from 1 species
CCUACGGGUGGCAGCAGUGAGGAAUAUUGGUCAAUGGACGAGAGUCUGAACCAGCCAAGUAGCGUGAAGGAUGACUGCCCUAUGGGUUGUAAACUUCUUUUAUAAAGGAAUAAAACGAGGCACGUGUGCCUUUUUGCAUGUACUUUAUGAAUAAGGAUCGGCUAACUCCGUGCCAGCAGCCGCGGUAAUACGGAGGAUUCGAGCGUUAUCCGGAUUUCUUGGGUUUAAAGGGAGCGUAGAUGGGUUGGUAAGUCAGUUGUGAAAUUUUGGGGCUCAACCGUAAACUUGCCAUGGAUACUGGCAGUCUUGAGUGGAGUUGAGGUAGGCGGAAUGCGUGGUGUAGCGGUGAAAUGCUUAGAUAUCACGAAGAACUCCGAUUGCGAAGGCAGCUUACCAACG